rnacentral:snRNA from 1 species
AUAAUUACUUGUAGAUGGCUCCAAUGUGGUUUUCCCAGGGUGAGGCUUGUCCAUUGUACUCUGGAUGUGCUGACCCUCCACACAUAUGUGAAACUCAACUGCAUGAUUUGUGAUAGUGGGGGACUCCCACUAUUUGUGCUCUCCCCUC